rnacentral:misc_RNA from 1 species
GAAAUGCGAUAAGUAAUGUGAAUUGCAGAAUUCAGUGAAUCAUCGAAUCUUUGAACGCACCUUGCGCUCCUUGGUAUUCCGAGGAGCAUGCCUGUUUGAGUGUCAUGGUAUUCUCAACCCUCCUGUGGUUUUUGUUUUCACAAAAGUCCGCAGGUUGGGAUUGGACUUGGAGGUUUUCAUUGCUGGGCUUCUCUCCUGAAGCUUGGCUCCUCUGAAAUGCAUUAGCUUGAAUGAUUUUUACCCAAGCAUGAUCCAGCGUGAUAAUUGUCUACGCUGCCUCGUCGUGGUGAAACCAGGCUUCGAACCGUCUCCUCCGGAGACAACUUUUCUGAACAUCUGACCUCAAAUCAGGUAGGACUACCCGCUGAACUUAA